GGCGGCAGGCUUAACACAUGCAAGUCGAACGAUGAUUUCCCAGCUUGCUGGGAAUGAUUAGUGGCGGACGGGUGAGUAACAUUUAGGAAUCUGCCUAGUAGUGGGGGAUAGCUCGGGGAAACUCGAAUUAAUACCGCAUACGACCUACGGGUGAAAGGGGGCGCAAGCUCUUGCUAUUAGAUGAGCCUAAAUCAGAUUAGCUAGUUGGUGGGGUAAAGGCCCACCAAGGCGACGAUCUGUAACUGGUCUGAGAGGAUGAUCAGUCACACCGGAACUGAGACACGGUCCGGACUCCUACGGGAGGCAGCAGUGGGGAAUAUUGGACAAUGGGGGCAACCCUGAUCCAGCCAUGCCGCGUGUGUGAAGAAGGCCUUUUGGUUGUAAAGCACUUUAAGCAGGGAGGAGAGGCUAAUGGUUAAUACCCAUUAGAUUAGACGUUACCUGCAGAAUAAGCACCGGCUAACUCUGUGCCAGCAGCCGCGGUAAUACAGAGGGUGCGAGCGUUAAUCGGAAUUACUGGGCGUAAAGCGAGUGUAGGUGGCUCAUUAAGUCACAUGUGAAAUCCCCGGGCUUAACCUGGGAACUGCAUGUGAUACUGGUGGUGCUAGAAUAUGUGAGAGGGAAGUAGAAUUCCAGGUGUAGCGGUGAAAUGCGUAGAGAUCUGGAGGAAUACCGAUGGCGAAGGCAGCUUCCUGGCAUAAUAUUGACACUGAGAUUCGAAAGCGUGGGUAGCAAACAGGAUUAGAUACCCUGGUAGUCCACGCCGUAAACGAUGUCUACUAGCCGUUGGGGUCCUUGAGACUUUAGUGGCGCAGUUAACGCGAUAAAUAGACCGCCUGGGGAGUACGGCCGCAAGGUUAAAACUCAAAUGAAUUGACGGGGGCCCGCACAAGCGGUGGAGCAUGUGGUUUAAUUCGAUGCAACGCGAAGAACCUUACCUGGUCUUGACAUAGUGAGAAUCCUGCAGAGAUGCGGGAGUGCCUUCGGGAAUUCACAUACAGGUGCUGCAUGGCUGUCGUCAGCUCGUGUCGUGAGAUGUUGGGUUAAGUCCCGCAACGAGCGCAACCCUUUUCCUUAUUUGCCAGCGGGUUAAGCCGGGAACUUUAAGGAUACUGCCAGUGACAAACUGGAGGAAGGCGGGGACGACGUCAAGUCAUCAUGGCCCUUACGACCAGGGCUACACACGUGCUACAAUGGUAGGUACAGAGGGUUGCUACACAGCGAUGUGAUGCUAAUCUCAAAAAGCCUAUCGUAGUCCGGAUUGGAGUCUGCAACUCGACUCCAUGAAGUCGGAAUCGCUAGUAAUCGCGGAUCAGAAUGCCGCGGUGAAUACGUUCCCGGGCCUUGUACACACCGCCCGUCACACCAUGGGAGUCUAUUGCACCAGAAGUAGGUAGCCUAACGAAAGAGGGCGCUUACCACGG
rnacentral:rRNA from 1 species